rnacentral:ncRNA from 1 species
GGUGAGGGUAGAGGUCGCGGCUUUUAUAGUAUUCUGUACGAGAUUCAGACGAAAUCUAAGACUACAGAAGAGGGAAAAUCCGCCGAAAUCUAUCGUGUAUCUCUGUACACAUGGGUUGGGGCUGUUCUCGAAAGGGACAGAACUGUCACGUUUGCUUGCCGAGCAGACGUGGUGUGCUAUCUUCAGU